rnacentral:rRNA from 1 species
UGGGGAAUAUUGGACAAUGGGCGAAAGCCUGAUCCAGCCAUGCCGCGUGUGUGAAGAAGGUCUUCGGAUUGUAAAGCACUUUAAGUUGGGAGGAAGGGCAGUAAGCGAAUACCUUGCUGUUUUGACGUUACCGACAGAAUAAGCACCGGCUAACUCUGUGCCAGCAGCCGCGGUAAUACAGAGGGUGCAAGCGUUAAUCGGAAUUACUGGGCGUAAAGCGGGCGUAGGUGGUUCGGUAAGUUGAAUGUGAAAGCCCCGGGCCCAACCUGGGAACUGCAUCCAAAACUGGCUAGCUAGAGUAGGGCAGAGGGUGGUGGAAUUUCCUGUGUAGCGGUGAAAUGCGUAGAUAUAGGAAGGAACACCAGUGGCGAAGGCGACCACCUGGGCUCAUACUGACACUGAGGUGCGAAAGCGUGGGGAGCAAACAGG